rnacentral:lncRNA from 1 species
UAAGCUCUGAUACCAAUUGUUAGCCCAAAUAAAGUGGAUCUUUAUGAUUUUCAGAAGUAAAUAAAGCUAUAUCAACAUGCAAAAUGGGUUCUGAGCUUAAUCAGAAAUAUCCACAAACAUAUGACAUGCUAUUCAUAUCAAAAUAUCCAUAACCAGUUGUUGUAAAUUCUUUAAAACUCAAGAGGGUGUACAAAUAUCCCUAAGCUUGUAAUCCACUAAAGAAUCUUUAACAAAAAAUCAAUUGCAGCUAUUGAUAAACUCUUCUAAGCAAUCCAAAAGAAAUUUCCAGCAAGUAUGCACCCAUUAAAAAUCAUUCCAUCGAUAUAGGAAAAUACCUAAUAACUAUUUCC